CAGAGUUGCAAAACUCCCACAAACCAUCGCGAAUCUUACCCGUACGGUUGCCUCGGCCGCUGGCGGUCCGGAAGGCCCUCGGGCCCCCCGGAUCCUCGGGUCUCCCGCUCGCGGGAGGCUGCCCGCCGGAGUGCCGAAACCAAACUCUUGAUAUUUUAUGUCUCUCUGAGUAAACUUUUAAAUAAGUCA
rnacentral:misc_RNA from 1 species